AUCAAUUUCAAAGAGUGCGCGAAACGUUAUGAAACAUUGAAGGACGUUUGCUCUCUCUCGCAUUGACUGCGGCCAUUCGUUCGUCCUUAGCUCUACCUUACACCCUUGGCUAGUUAAUCUCAAUAAAAAAAUCUGUGUACUCAGCCAAUCUCGAUGAAAAAUGCCGAUAUUUAGCUAAACAAAAAUUGAAGACGCUGGAACUGGGCACAGACAGUCAAGACUUUCUACCGUGAACAUUACCAUUCGACUUUCAGCAUUUACUGAAAUGCGCCUUUACAUAAUCAAAAUUUCAUCCUCAACAACCAACGUCCACUCAAUGUAGCUCAUCAACCUGCUACGGUUGAUUCCAAGGUAUAUUGAAAGUACAGGUACAGCAAUCUAAGCAGGGCCCGGUAAACCGAGAGGGGGUAAAAAGUGACAGCUGGCGAGUCGGUGGGCUGGUCGACAUGUUUGUGUAUUUUGCCCUCCAAGAGUUUCCAACGUAUCCAUAGAGCUGUUAACGUUAUUGAAAAUUAUUGCGUAUGACUUGGCAAAAUGCCAUCGUUUUGUGCCCAUUUCGGAAAUAUGGAUGUGAAAACCAAACUCCGUACUGUGGUGUUUAACGUUAGUUUUACUUAAACAAUUUCCGCAACUCUGGAAGAUUCCGCACACGGAUGUUUGGUAGCCGGGGGAAACACGUCAUUCAGGGCUCUUAUUAUCGGCAUUCUGGAAUCACCCUCAAUGGAACCUGAAUGGACAUGCACUUAUUGCUAGAAAAAAAGAAUAUCGAACGGGUGAAUAGAGCCAUUACAAGAGCAGGACGAACGACGCAAGAAAUGUAGUGGUUUAGUUUAAAAAAGAUGAUGUAAGUGAUGGAUGUUGUUGAAAAUGAAUAAAUAAGGGAAGUGAAAAGGAGUUUUUUAGAAAAAAAAAAAAAAGUAUGUGUGUCAUCCAGAAUCAAUGCUAUAAUGCACUUCGCCGUAUC